UACGUAGGCAGCGAGCGUUGUUCGGAUUUACUGGGCGUAAAGCGUGCGUAGGCGGUGUCUUAAGUUUGUUGUGAAAUCUCCCGGCUUAACCGGGAGGGUGCGGCGAAUACUGAGAUGCUGGAGUGCCGGAGAGGUAAGCGGAAUUCCUGGUGUAGCGGUGAAAUGCGUAGAUAUCUGGAGGAACACCAAUGGCGAAGGCAGCUCGCUGGGACGGUACUGACGCUGAGACGCGAAAGCGUGGGGAGCAAACAGG
rnacentral:rRNA from 1 species